UCAUGCGGCCACGCCUGGCCUCAGCUCACAGUGCCCGCCUUCCCCAGCUCCCGUGCCAAGCUGAGCCGCCACGCCUGGCUUACCAAGGAACUUUCUAGAAGGAGAAAUGCUGUGAUCUGCACAGAUGGUUGUGGAGCCUGCCAGCCAGAUAGGAAGUGGAGAAACGGAGGCACACAUUUGAGGCCUCAUAGAUGUGGCUGUCAUCAUCCAAGGUCACUGCCCACCUCGAUGUUUUGUCUGCCUUCUGCCUGGUUUCGGAGGCCCAGCGGCCCCUCGAGGACCAAGGACUGACUCUACCCCAGCUACCAACGGCAGCAGUGACCCCGAGUCCACUCCUGCUGUCCAGCUCAUGGGCCCUGGGCCUUCCUCACCCCAUGCACAUGUGAGAAGACGAAGAAAGACCAGAUUCCUGUGCCCAUCAUUGAGGACACGUGAGUCGAUGACCACCAACAAGCAGGCAGAGGCCGAACCCCACACCAAGCUGGGUGACACUUGAUCUUAGACUUCGUUCGGUGCGGCCUCCGUGUGUGCAGAGCCCUAAGCCAUGAACAUUGUGGUACACUCGUCUGCAGGACCGGCCCAGGCUCGCAGCAGGGGGCGCCAGGCAGCCCAGGGGUGCUGUAGGCUGCAGUCCCCUGGCUUGUGCAAAGCCACACCACGAUCUUUACACAACAGUGCGUUCCCCAGGACACACAGCUGUGCCCGCUCUCCAGAUGGUCACAGGCUGCCGAGUGGGACCUGAGACACGGCCGGCCUGGUGUGGCGGGGGCCGGGACAAGGUCGCAGCCUUCACGGGAGCAGGCAGUGUUAUUUCUCCACAAAUGCUCUGACCCUGCUAGGCUUUAUCUAGGAAUUUAUCCCUCAGAUGUCACCCGAAUGUUAUUUCAUGUGGCCAGUCCAAAGAGCCAGCAAGCUCUGCCACACAGGAACAUCUCAGUCUGGAGCUGAAGCAACAGUGCUGUUACUAUCAAGCUGAAAAACACAAGGGGAAAGACUGCUGACUGAUGUGUUUACUUGUGUGGGGCCAAAACGCCCUUUCAAAGACCCUGGAAGAAUUGGCGAUGGUCCCCCGGGGAGGGGAGGGAGCUCUGGCUAACAGAUACUGGUGGGGACUUUCCUUCUCAUUGUGCAUCUUUUUCAGGCAUUUGAAUUCCUAACAAUUAAUACCUACUAAAAAUAGUAAAUAAAAUAAGAGGAACAGGACAUGUAGACACCGUCACAUGUGAUGCCUUCCAGGACAUCCUGAAGUUUAAAAAAUGGGUGCGUCUGAGAUCAUGGUAUUCAAGAGAAAUAA